UACGAAGGGGGCUAGCGUUGUUCGGAAUCACUGGGCGUAAAGGGCGCGUAGGCGGCUUUAUAAGUCGGGGGUGAAAGCCUGUGGCUCAACCACAGAAUUGCCUUCGAUACUGUAGAGCUUGAGACCGGAAGAGGUAAGUGGAACUGCGAGUGUAGAGGUGAAAUUCGUAGAUAUCUGGAGGAACACCGGUGGCGAAGGCGGCAUCCUGGACCAACACUGACGCUGAGGAGCGAAAGCCAGGGGAGCAAACGGG
rnacentral:rRNA from 1 species